rnacentral:rRNA from 1 species
UACAGAGGGGGCAAGCGUUGUUCGGAAUUACUGGGCGUAAAGGGUGCGUAGGUGGUCCGUUAAGUCAGUUGUGAAAUCCCCGGGCUCAACCCGGGAACUGCUUCUGAUACUGGCGGACUUGAGGCCAGUAGAGGUCACUGGAACUGACGGUGGAGCGGUGAAAUGCGUAGAUAUCGUCAGGAACGCCGGUGGUGAAGACGGGUGACUGGGCUGGUUCUGACACUGAGGCACGAAAGCGUGGGGAGCGAACGGG